GACGAACUGUGCAAACGUUAUUCGGAAUCACUGGGCUUAAAGGGUGCGUAGGCGGUCUUGUAAGUAGGGUGUGAAAGCCCCCGGCUCAACUGGGGAGGGUCAUUCGAUACUGAUCGACUCGAAGGCAGGAGAGGGAAGUGGAAUUCCCGGUGUAGUGGUGAAAUGCGUAGAUAUCGGGAGGAACACCAGUGGCGAAGGCGGCGAUCUGGGAAGAUACUGACGCUGAGGUGCGAAAGCGUGGGGAGCAAACAGG
rnacentral:rRNA from 1 species